rnacentral:lncRNA from 1 species
UUUUGCAUUUUGCCCUCAGUUUUGCCUUGUUCUUUGUUGUGCGUUAAAUGUGUGAUUUCCAGCCGUUUUGGGUAAUUCACAGAGGAGUUUAUCUGGAUUUAGACGCAGCAGUGUGAACAUGUCCAGAGAGUUGUUACAUCUGCGAAAAUUCAGCGUUAAGAGAUCCUACAAUCGCACAGGUUGUGUUUGGACCGCUGCCCUCAGGGGAACGUGUAAUCAUUCACUGUACAGUGCAGACGUCAGCUUUACUGGAACCAGAUGGAGAGACAGAGUCUGUGUUUACCUGGACCAGUGGGCACAUAUAUGACCGUCCCCGAC